rnacentral:rRNA from 1 species
UACGUAGGGUGCGAGCGUUGUCCGGAAUUAUUGGGCGUAAAGAGCUCGUAGGCGGUUUGUCGCGUCUGCUGUGAAAAUCCGAGGCUCAACCUCGGACUUGCAGUGGGUACGGGCAGACUAGAGUGUGGUAGGGGAGACUGGAAUUCCUGGUGUAGCGGUGAAAUUCGUAGAUAUCGGGAGGAACACCGGUGGCGAAGGCGGCGAUCUGGGUCGAUACUGACGCUGAGGUGCGAAAGCGUGGGGAGCAAACAGG